rnacentral:rRNA from 1 species
CCAGACUCCUACGGGAGGCAGCAGUGGGGAAUAUUGGACAAUGGACCAAGAGUCUGAUCCAGCAAUUCUGUGUGCACGAUGAAGUUUUUCGGAAUGUAAAGUGCUUUCAGUUGGGAAGAAAGAAAUGACGGUACCAACAGAAGAAGUGACGGCUAAAUACGUGCCAGCAGCCGCGGUAAUACGUAUGUCACGAGCGUUAUCCGGAUUUAUUGGGCGUAAAAAGCGCGUCUGGGUGGUUAUGUAAGUCUGAUGUGAAAAUGCAGGGCUCAACUCUGUAUUGCGUUGGAAACUGUAUAACUAGAGUACUGGAGAGGUAAGCGGAACUACAAGUGUAGAGGUGAAAUUCGUAGAUAUUUGUAGGAAUGCCGAUGGGGAAGCCAGCUUACUGGACAGAUACUGACGCUGAAGCGCGAAAGCGUGGGUAGCAAACAGGAUUAGAUACCCUGGUAGUCCACGCCGUAAACGAUGAUUACUAGGUGUUGGGGGUCGAACCUCAGCGCCCAAGCAAACGCGAUAAGUAAUCCGCCUGGGGAGUACGUACGC